ACCUGACAACUUUACGGUUUUUACUUUUGAAUUACCGUUUAUAUUUUUAUUUUUCCCUCACUCAACUGUUUUUACUCCGGACGUUUUAUCUGGAUAUGGUUCGUCAGGACUUCCAACAGCCGAAGCUAAGUAGUAACAUUAACAUGAUGCCUUCUAAUAGGCUCUAUGCAUUAUACCGCCUCCAACGUUCUAAUUUACUUCCGUUCGAGUUGAUGACUUCCGGAGCGAGUUCUGCUAUUGUUUUUAGCAUUAGCUUACUAGCUAUCGUCGAUGCAUCUCUGACUGAAAUAGUUAGCAAUGACUACGUUUAAAUUACAGCCCCGAGAAGGAGGUGCUAAUGAACAUUGUUCAGUGCCUCUGUGUUCAGUUUAUUCCAAAUGUAAUGGUAUUGUGAGCUUCCAUCGUUUCCCGGUCGAUGUAGAGCUCAGAAAAAGGUGGUUGGUGGCAGUACGUCGUGACAACGUUACUGUCACCAAACACACAAAGGUGUGUAGUACACAUUUAGUCGAAAGUGACUUUGUUGAGGGAAAAUUGGGGGGCGACAAUACCUAAAAAGAGGUGUUGUUCCUACUGUCUUUGCGUUGAACUGGCACAUUAAAAAGAGACCUGAUGUUUGGGAAAGAAGACUGAAACCUCCUGCUCCGACGGAGGGGGAUGAAGAACCAGGUGCGCUGCCUAUGGACUGUGCCGUCUCUGAUCCGAUCCAGACCCAUAAUUACUGUGCAGUCCCUGAACCCGCAGCCCUGGACAUGGCCCUGGCCCUAAUGGCAAUCCAUGAGCACGUAAGAGAAAUUGAGGAGCUUCGAGCCAAGCUGGAGAAACUGACCACCCAACGCGGCUUUGGUCUACAACGAUUUGCUGGAUCUGACGAUGAUAUACGUUUUUACACAAGACACUGCCAUCAAUCGAUGAGUUCUUCUUGUUUAUGACUCAUCUGUCGCUGGGUCUGAAGCAGAAGGAUUUAGCCCACCGGUUCAGCAUCCACCAAUUGACAGUGAGCCGGAUUAUCAUCUCUUGGGCCAACUUCCUCUACUGUCUGCUUGGAUCAGCACGGAUAUGGAUCCCCAAGGAAACCAUCAAAGCCCACCUACCAGUUCAAGGACUAUCCAGACACCCAGGUGAGCAGAAGUUCCAUGUUCUCAGUGAAACCAGGAAUACGGUUUAGCUCCAGGACCACCCAGGAGAUGACGGAUACUGGGAGAUCAAUGCAAACAGCUCCAAACACGAUGGGAAUGUUGUCACCAAUGGUUACAUGGGAGUUUGUAGAGAACAGUAAGAAUAUGGAGGGAUGGGAUCGGCCCGAGGCAGAUGGAGACGGUCGUGAGAUGAAGCCCACGGUGAGCAGAAGUUCCAUGUUCUCAGUGAAACCAGGAAUACGGUAGAGCUCCAGGACCACCCAGGAGAUGACGGAUACUGGGAGAUCAAUGCAAACAGCUCCAAACACGAUGGGAAUGUUGUCACCAAUGGUUACAUGGGUGAGUCACGCUUCACGGAAAUCCAAAAUGAGAUGCAACAUGUUUUUUAUUUUUAUGGUUCUGUUAAUCAUACAGUGAUUUUUCAUACACCAGAUUGCACAACAAAUUACCUUUCUCUUGUAUAUACAGUUGGUGUUUCUGAAAUAAAAGAAAACAUUUCUAAUGAUGAGAAAAUCUUGGAAUUUUCCACACGUUUACUAGAUUUGACCCGAGUGGGGACUAUGUGUACACUAAAGGCAAGCUCUUACGGAGCUGAGAAGUGGCUUCUCAUGGUGGACGAGAGUGACCAGAGAUAUGAGAGAGCAUUCAUCAUCAAGAACAAACAUUCUGGAAGGUUAUUGGCUGUCCAAAAUGGCUGCUUUGUUGGACUAACAUUGUACAUUGAAGAUCGCAAAAUGGUACUUAGA